rnacentral:pre_miRNA from 1 species
UUGAUACUCCCUCCGAUCCAUAUUACUUGUCUCAAAUUUGCCUAAAUAUGGAUGUAUCUAUGUUUAAAAAGCGUCUAGAUGAGACAAGUAAUAUGGGUCGGAGGGAGUAGCAU